CUGAGCGGUGGGUGGGGGCCCUAAAAUUAACAAUAAGGGGGGGACCUAUUGUCCCCCUCGGCCCCCACCCCUGAGCGGUGGGUGGGGGCCCUAAAUACAAAGGGGGGGACCCUAGUCACCCCUCCCCCCCAAAAAAAAAUGUAUCUCCCUACCUACCCCCCUCACCCUAAAAAUAAUGAGGGGGGGACCUUUAACUAAAAACCUGUAAAAAAAAAAUUGGUAAAAAUAACUUACCAUUUGAUGUUUUCUUUCUUCUACAAUCUUCUUUUUUCAGCCCCAAAAAAGGCCAAAUAAAAAGCCAUAAGAAUCGACGCAAUAAAAAAAAAAAAAAAAACCCGAGCGCAAAAAAGGACAGCCUACAUGAAUAGUCAGCAAGGAGCAGGAAGGUAAGGUAAGAAAAGGAGAAGGAACAGAAAUGAGCAGGAAGGGACAUCAAGGAGCAGAAAGGGGCAGCAAGG